rnacentral:rRNA from 1 species
UACGUAGGGUGCAAGCGUUGUCCGGAAUUAUUGGGCGUAAAGAGCUCGUAGGCGGUUUGUUGCGUCGGCUGUGAAAACCCGGGGCUCAACCCCGGGCCUGCAGCCGAUACGGGCAGACUAGAGUUCGGCAGGGGAGACUGGAAUUCCUGGUGUAGCGGUGAAAUGCGCAGAUAUCAGGAGGAACACCAGUGGCGAAAGCGGCUUCCUGGUCCAGCACCGACGUCAGGCACGAAAGCGUGGGGGAGCAAACAGG